CAACCUGAGCUCAGUCGUGAUUACCCGCCGAACUUAAGCAUAUCAUUCAGCGGAGGAAAAGAAACUAACUAGGAUUCCCCAAGUAAUGGCGAAUGAAAGGGGAAGAGCCCAGCGCUGAAUCUCUCGGUCUUAGGCCGCUGAGAACUGUAGCGUAUAGGUGUGACUGUCCUGUCUAUAUUGCAUUUCCGAAGUCUCUUUGAUAGGGGCCAACAUCCAGAGAGGGUGCGAGACCUGUACGGAAAGUAGUAUAGUUGGUAUGGUUACUCCUUGGAGUCGGGUUGCUUGAAAGUGCAGCCUAAAGUUGGUGAUAAACUUCAUCUAAGGCUAAAUAUCGACGCGAAAUCGAUAGCAAACAAGUACCGUGAGGGAAAGUUGCAAAGAACUUUGAAGAGAGAGUUCAAGAGAACGUGAAAUCGCUGAAGUGGAACCGGAGAGAGUUAACAUAACUUGGUAGCUAUAUCCUCUAAAGUCGCUUAACUGUGGCUCUGGGGGGUGGACGCUACCUGUUGUUGCACUGACUGCGUUGAUUGUGCUUUCCGAACAGUAUAGUGUUGCCCACUUUGUGGUGUCUUGCUUUCUGGGAGGUUUGUCAUAAUUAACGUAAAGCCAAUUCCCUUUG
rnacentral:ncRNA from 1 species